AAAUGACCCCGUAACUUAGGGAUAAGGGGUGCCACCAUUAGGUGGCCGCAGAGAAUAGGCCCAGGCGACUGUUUACGAAAAACAUAGGAUUCUGCUAAGUCGCAAGACGAUGUAUAGGAGCUGACGCAUGCCCGGUGCUGGAAGGUUAAGGGGAUCUGUUAGAGUCAUCGAAGCAGUGAACUUAAGCCACAGUAAACGGCGGCCGUAACGAAAACGGCCCUGACGUAGCGAAAGUCCUUGUCGGGUAAGUUCCGAACCGCACGACAGGCGUAACGAUUUGGGCGCUGUAUCGCCGACACUCUUGGUCAAAUUGUACUUACGGCGCACAUGACGGCUACCUGCGACCUGGAGGACGGACCAGCGCGAGCAUUACUGGAGCUAGCCACUGGUGUUG
rnacentral:rRNA from 1 species